rnacentral:other from 1 species
AGUUCUCUGAGUUGUUUGUGUUUGGCUGAUGUCCCCGAGCCGAUAAUCAUUUGAAACAGGGUUUCUUUUCCAGUGCUAUUGUGCAAGCCCGGCUCGUACCGGGAAGCCUGCGGUGCUGACCUGACUCCCGCCUUGAACCUACGGUUCAAGGGCUAACGCUGAACACGGCAAACUCGGAGAACAC